rnacentral:lncRNA from 1 species
CUGGAGUCCCUGCCACCACCUCCAUAUGAAGAAGCCUGGGCUAGCCCGAUGAAUGAUGAGAAACAUAUGAUCUAGUUUCCCACCUCAUCCCAGCCUACAGCCAGUCAGCCUCAGAAGGAGAACCACGUAUAUGGGUUGUAACUGACUUCAGGCACAUAAGUGAGUCCCUUUGAGAGAGCAGUAGAACCAUCCAGCUGAGCCCAGCCCAAACUACCAACCCUAUAAGCUAAGGAAAGAGCUUAUUGGUUUUAAGCCACUAAAUUUGGGGACAGUUUGAUAGGCAGCAAAAGCUAACUGAUACAGGAGGGAAGAGAAUAGCUGUUCUUCCCAAGCAGCAGCAUCAGUUGUGGCUGUGCAUAGUGGAAAUGGCAGGGAAGGGGACCAGAGCUGCUGUAACAGCUCCAAACCAUAGGAAGGCUCAGUGGCAGCUCCUCAGGUGGUAGUUAGCAGGCCAGUCUGAGCAGGAUGGGUCCAGUGAACAGAGAGGAGAGAGGAUCCCUAGACUGAGUCUUCACUGACCCUGGCCUAGCUGAAGUUAUCUGGGCCCCAGAAAGAAGAGACCUACUGGGAUCCUUCCUUCAGCCUCUCUAACUCCCACCAAAGGAGGGCCUGGAUCGUGGAAGUUAGAAAAAAGGACCAAGAAGAAUACCUCCCUCAUCCACAAUAGAUGCUCAGUAAAGGGUCAUUGAAUAAACAACUCGAUUUCAAAGUCAGUGAGUUCAAGGAAAAGAAAGUUCUAAGUUUGAACAUCUAGAAAAUGAUUUGGCGUAUGCUUCAUACUCAUGAUGAAUGCCAUCAGGAGACGGUCAUUGGAGCCUUUACCAAGCCUGCUAUACUGAUCUUAGCACUGAUACCACAGGCAGAGGAGGAAACAACAGGUAAUGAAUUAAACUGAGUGAAUUGGGUAUACUUACACAUGUGGGGAAAGUGUGUACAGAGCUGUUCAUUGUGGCUUUAUUUGUGAUUGCAAGAAAGUGGAAACAACAUAAA